rnacentral:lncRNA from 1 species
UCAUUAAUUAAAUUGUUCAAUGAUCUUUACACAUCCACACAUGUCGAAAGAAGCUGGAUGUGUUCCUCGUGUUGAUGGCAUCGGAUCGUGUGGUGACAGUUCGGUUUACCUUUUAAUUUCGUCAUUUGCUGGCACUUGCAAAUGAAAAUCCUUUCUUGUAGAAUUACCGUCUCUUCGAUAGUUUCAUAUGAAAAUAUUGGAAUAUGAUAUGAGGAUGUCAAUGAUUUUUUACGAUUACAUUUAUGAAACUUUUACAUAUCUGGCUACAAGAGUGGCUAGUGCAAUGUAAUGCUGACGAGUCAUGUGACGUUGAUUGGCGGGAAACGAGAACCGGAUCCGAAUGAUGCAGUAACCGUUUCUCUUUAAUUAAAUUGGUUUAUCUUAUGAAAGA